rnacentral:rRNA from 1 species
GACGAACGCUGGCGGCGUGCUUAACACAUGCAAGUCGAACGGAAAGGCCCUGCUUUUGUGGGGUGCUCGAGUGGCGAACGGGUGAGUAACACGUGAGUAACCUGCCCUUGACUUUGGGAUAACUUCAGGAAACUGGGGCUAAUACCGGAUAGGAGCUCCUGCUGCAUGGUGGGGGUUGGAAAGUUUCGGCGGUUGGGGAUGGACUCGCGGCUUAUCAGCUUGUUGGUGGGGUAGUGGCUUACCAAGGCUUUGACGGGUAGCCGGCCUGAGAGGGUGACCGGCCACAUUGGGACUGAGCUACGGCCCAGACUCCUACGGGAGGCAGCAGUGGGGUAUAUUGCACAAUGGGCGGAAGCCUGAUGCAGCAACGCCGCGUGCGGGAUGACGGCCUUCGGGUUGUAAACCGCUUUCGCCUGUGACGAAGCGUGAGUGACGGUAAUGGGUAAAGAAGCACCGGCUAACUACGUG